rnacentral:rRNA from 1 species
AGUGAACGCUGGCGGUAGGCCUAACACAUGCAAGUCGAACGGCAGCACAGUAAGAUCUUGCUCUUACGGGUGGCGAGUGGCGGACGGGUGAGGAAUACAUCGGAAUCUACUUUUUCGUGGGGGAUAACGUAGGGAAACUUACGCUAAUACCGCAUACGACCUACGGGUGAAAUCAGGGGAUCUUCGGACCUUGCGCGAUUGAAUGAGCCGAUGUCGGAUUAGCUAGUUGGCGGGGUAAAGGCCCACCAAGGCGACGAUCCGUAGCUGGUCUGAGAGGAUGAUCAGCCACACUGGAACUGAGACACGGUCCAGACUCCUACGGGAGGCAGCAGUGGGGAAUAUUGGACAAUGGGCGCAAGCCUGAUCCAGCCAUACCGCGUGGGUGAAGAAGGCCUUCUGGUUGUAAAGCCCUUUUGUUGGGAAAGAAAAGCAGCAGGUUAAUACCCCGCUGUUCUGACGGUACCCAAAGAAUAAGCACCGGCUAACUUCGUG